UGGUUCAGUAGCUCAGUCGGUAGAGCAAAGGACUGAAAAUCCUUGUGUCGGCGGUUCGAUUCCGUCCUGAACCACUUC
rnacentral:tRNA from 1 species